GUUGUUCUGCCAAGGGCAUGGCUGGUUGGCUACGUUCGGGAUGGAUAACCGCUGAAAGCAUCUAAGCGGGAAGCCGGCCUCGAGAUGAGAUCUCCGUACACCCUCGGGUGUUGUAGGUUCCCAGUAGAUGACUGGGUUGAUAGGCCAGAUGUGGAAGCGCGGUAACGUGUGGAGCUGACUGGUACUAAUAAACCAACGACUUGACUUC
rnacentral:rRNA from 1 species